rnacentral:rRNA from 1 species
GACGAGCGCUGGCGGCGUGCUUAACACAUGCAAGUCGAACGGAAAGGCCCUGCUUUUGUGGGGUGCUCGAGUGGCGAACGGGUGAGUAACACGUGAGUAACCUGCCCUUGACUUUGGGAUAACUUCAGGAAACUGGGGCUAAUACCGGAUAGGAGCUCCUGCUGCAUGGUGGGGGUUGGAAAGUUUCGGCGGUUGCGGAUGGACUCGCGGCUUAUCAGCUUGCUGGUGGGGUAGUGGCUUACCAAGGCUUUGACGGGUAGCCGGCCUGAGAGGGUGACCGGCCACAUUGGGACUGAGAGAGGGCCCAGACUCCUACGGGAGGCAGCAGGGGGGAAUAUUGCACAAUGGGCGGAAGCCUGAUGCAGCAACGCCGCGUGCGGGAUGACGGCCUUCGGGUUGUAAACCGCUGUCGCCUGUGACGAAGCGUGAGUGACGGUAAUGGGUAAAGAAGCACCGGCUAACUACGUG